AUUGAACGCUGGCGGCAGGCCUAACACAUGCAAGUCGAACGGUAACAGGAAGAAGCUUGCUUCUUUGCUGACGAGUGGCGGACGGGUGGGUAAUGUCUGGGAAACUGCCUGAUGGAGGGGGAUAACUACUGGAAACGGUGGCUAAUACCGCAUAACGUCGCAAGACCAAAAAGGGGGACCUUCGGGCCUCUUGCCAUCGGAUGUGCCCAGAUGGGAUUAGCUAGUAGGUGGGGUAACGGCUCACCUAGGCGACGAUCCCUAGCUGGUCUGAGAGGAUGACCAGCCACACUGGAACUGAGACACGGUCCAGACUCCUACGGGAGGCAGCAGUGGGGAAUAUUGCACAAUGGGCGCAAGCCUGAUGCAGCCAUGCCGCGUGUAUGAAGAAGGCCUUCGGGUUGUAAAGUACUUUCAGCGGGGAGGAAGGGAGUAAAGUUAAUACCUUUGCUCAUUGACGUUACCCGCAGAAGAAGCACCGGCUAACUCCGUG
rnacentral:rRNA from 1 species